UUCUGGUCUUUAAGUGUUUGUCGAAUGGUGCUGUUGAUUUUCUCGUGAAACCCAUUAGAAAGAACGAACUAAAGAAUCUUUGGCAACAUGUCUGGAGAAGAUGUCACAGUUCUAGCGGAAGCGAAAGUGAGAGUGCAAUACAGAACAGGAAGCCAGUGAAAACUGAAAGCUCUGAAGGGUCAGAAAACGAUGCCAACAUCAGUGAUGAAGAUCAUGGGAAUGAAAAUGGGAGUAAUGGUUUGAGUGACCGAGAUGGUGGGAGUGAUAACGGGAGUGGAACUCAGAGUAAUACGUUUCUAUGGCAAUAGAUAAAAAUUAUGUCUGAGCACAUCACAUUCAUAUCAAUUUCCUGAUGCAACCAAUAUGAACCUGGGAACCUAUGCCAACAGAUGGGAUGAUGUUAAUAAACUGAAGGAGAUUGAAGAUCAGAAUGAA